rnacentral:rRNA from 1 species
CACGUAGGGUGCGAGCGUUGUCCGGAAUUAUUGGGCGUAAAGGGCUCGUAGGCGGUUUGUUGCGUCGGCUGUGAAAUCCCGAGGCUCAACCUCGGGUCUGCAGUCGAUACGAGCAAACUAGAGUGUUGCAGGGGAGACUGGAAUUCCUGGUGUAGCGGUGGAAUGCGUAGAGAUCGGGAAGAAUACCCGUGGCGAAGGCGGCCAGCUGGGCCAGGUCCGACACUGAGGCGCGAAAGCGUGGGGAGCAAACAGG